GGGCUUGUACUGGUUUCGACGGGGAUUUUGAAGUUACGGAAGCCAUUGGUGGCGGGGGACCACCUUAAAACUCUCAAAAAAAAUAAACGCUGAAGACAAUUUAGCACUCGCUGCCUAAUAUGGCAGCUGUCAGACCUGACGCACCUACACGUUAGGACCCUGGCAUCGACUAUGUAGGAAACGAUGCAUCCAAAGCUUUGAGGAUGUAGGCGUAUUAUGAAGCUACUGAAAUCCAGAGCGUGUCUGUUUGCGAUGGAUGGAGGGAACAUGCAGACUUCGGGUUUGCAGUCAUAACAGACUGUAAUGGGAGAUGCCGUAAUGGAUGGGUUUUCGGACAGGGGUUCGACUCCCCUCAGGUCCAUAA
rnacentral:tmRNA from 1 species